rnacentral:sRNA from 1 species
GAGAAGGGUCACGCACAGGAUUGCGACCUCGACUGGAACGCGCUUCCCGAAAGGGGCAUGCGCAGAGAGGUCGUAGUCGCUUCUGAAGUGGCGGGACAGGCUUCAUUGGGACAGCCCUAACCCAGCUGCUGAAUGCCAGAGGCCACGAAGUGACGUUGAUCUCCCGACACCCUGGGCCCGGCCGGAUCACGUGGGAUGAGCUCGCUGCAUCGGGGCUGCCGAGCUGCGAUGCCGCCGUCAACCUGGCCGGAGAGAACAUCCUCAACCCUCUCCGAAGCUUACUACCAGCCCAGUCUGACUGCGGAGUAUGAUGAAGACAGCCCAGGAGGAGACUUUGACUUUUUCUCCAACCUCGUAACCAAAUGGGAAGCUGCAGCCAGGCUUCCUGGAGAUCCUACACGCCAGGUGGUGGUGCGCU